CCUUGCAGCAGAGUAGCUCCUACAAGGUACAGAAGACCAGGAUUACAUCCCUGAACUAUAUCAAGUAGAUAAGGAACAGAAGCUGAAGGUUCUGCUAACUGGCCAAAGCAACAAACAGUCACAGAACUAGUAAAUCAAACUGGUGUUGUCAUAGUGGAAUUGUCAACAGAGGGUGGAACACAAUGCUUAUACCAAUUAAGUGGUGUUACUCUGGAGAACUGGGUUUUAUUCCCAUCUUUGACAUGAUAAACUGCAGCAGGAGGCUACGGUAUACAUGAAACCAUUAACCUCUUUAACCUUGUGAACUGUAAGGUACCAAAUACUUAUUUUAAACAGCAUGUGAGUCAACGUGGCUUCUGCUUCCAAGCUACUUGCUUGGAUGUAAGCAUCCGUGGGAACGUCAGCGCCGUUCUGCGGCUACAGAUUUAUUACUUGGCCAGCAGAGGGAACUCGAGUUUUCCAAUGACUUCACUUAAUCCGAAGGAAAACAAACGCGAGGUCAAACUAUACCUAUUGUUUUGUUCCAUUUCCCACUGACACUGAUUGCUAUGGGUUAUUUUGUUUCGGUUGUGUUUCGGAUUUGAUUUUUGUUUUUGUUUGUGGUGGUGUUUUGGGUUGGUUAUUUUUUUUCCCCCCAAUUUUUGAGGGUUGAAUUUGUCAGGGCUGAUCUCCAGUUUUCUUCCAUUCAAAUAAUCUUGCUUAACACAAAAAGCAAAGUCACUUGAAACUCAAAGACCCAUUUAUAUUUGAAUGUGGUUUAAACAUGUAGCAAUUGUAAUGGCGUUUGGUUCUUCAGGAGUUUUGACACUAUAUGCACUCUUUUGGAUGACAUGCUUUCAUAGUGCUAACCAGUGAAAAGAAGAGGUUUUCAAAGCUGAAGAGAAAGUCUCUGAAUCCCAUGAGAAGUGAAAUAAUAAUAAUAAUAAUAAAAACACUGUUCCUUCAGUGGACAAUAUUAUUUGCAAAGUCAUGGGAAGUCCUAUUGCAGAAAUUUAUUUAUCUGUAUUCCAUUAUUUUUCUAAUAAAGGUGAUGCUGAAGACAUGAAU
rnacentral:lncRNA from 7 species